UACGUAGGUGGCAAGCGUUGUCCGGAUUUACUGGGCGUAAAGAGCGCGCAGGCGGUCGUUCAAGUCGCGUGUGAAAGCCCCCGGCUCAACUGGGGAGGGUCACGCGAUACUGAUCGACUCGAAGGCAGGAGAGGGAAGUGGAAUUCCCGGUGUAGUGGUGAAAUGCGUAGAGAUCGGGAGGAACACCCGUGGCGAAGGCGGCCACCUGGGCCGACCCUGACGCUGAGGCGCCGAAGGCGUGGGGAGCGAACGGG
rnacentral:rRNA from 1 species